UACGAAGGGGGCUAGCGUUGCUCGGAAUUACUGGGCGUAAAGGGCGCGUAGGCGGAUAGUUUAGUCAGAGGUAAAAGCCCAGGGCUCAACCUUGGAACUGCCUUUGAUACUGGCUAUCUUGAGUUCGGGAGAGGUGAGUGGAAUGCCGAGUGUAGAGGUGAAAUUCGUAGAUAUUCGGCGGAACACCAGUGGCGAAGGCGACUCACUGGCCCGAUACUGACGCUGAGGCGCGAAAGCGUAGGGAGCAAACAGG
rnacentral:rRNA from 1 species